UACGUAGGGUGCAAGCGUUGUCCGGAAUUAUUGGGCGUAAAGAGCUCGUAGGCGGCUUGUUGCGUCGGCUGUGAAAACCCAUGGCUCAACCGUGGGCUUGCAGCCGAUACGGGCAGGCUAGAGUUCGGUAGGGGAGACUGGAAUUCCUGGUGUAGCGGUGAAAUGCGCAGAUAUCAGGAGGAACACCGGUGGCGAAGGCGGGUCUCUGGGCCGAUACUGACGCUGAGGAGCGAAAGCGUGGGGAGCGAACAGG
rnacentral:rRNA from 1 species